GGAACUUAGAGUUUUCUUUCAACUUUAACUCACUCCAGGCUUCUCUUACCCCUUCAUUUGACAGGUUUUUUCCCAGACUGGAAGGUUUCCACCAAGUCAUGAAGAUGGUUGUGUUUGGGAUGGUCCGGUGGAUCCUGUGCCUCGUGUCAGCUCUGUCGUUUGGGGAAGGCUGAGACAUUGCAGCUCUCUUAGGCUGUUGAGGACUAGAAGGUGCCCGUGGGCUGGGCAGGUCUUCAGCAGUGACUCUGGGGGAGUGGGUGAGCGUGCUGUUUUCCAACAGAAAUAACAAACAUUCCUCUCUGAAGAUAUGGCUGACAAAAAGGAUAGGUUCUGGCACUGACCAGCUGUGCUCCGUGGGAUGGGCUUUUGGGCAUUUCCAGCAACUGUGGAUGCCAGCUCUUGGCUUACAGACCUUGGUGCUGAACACAUGGGCAUUGUGUGCAGAUCCAUGCAGUACAUGUGAUGAGCAGAGAGCCGUAAUGUAGAAUUCUGGACUGACUUGGAGAGCUCCUUUUUAAGACUCAGAGCGUGAACAUGUCUGGAGGAGCAGGGAGGCUGAACUUGUGCACCUGGGGGUGGAUGGUGGCCUCCUCCAACCCAAGUAUGACGUGGGAUGAGACCUCUCACCAUGAGAUAAGACCCCAUGACCUGAGAUGCUGCACUCCAUGCCACACUGGCUCAGGUUAGCCCGCAGCCCUGUUUUCCACACGUAACCAUGGUAACCCGAAUUAUCUAGCAGAGGUGCACACCAGGCCAAUUUGUCACAGCUGCUCCUCCAAACCCACGGUGUCUGCAUCGUCUGAGCCUGCACAGAGCAGGAGGACGUCUCUGUGGCUUUGCCAUUCCUAAUGCAAUCCCAGCGCAGGCAGUGGGAGGUGGGGAGAAGGAAGAGGAAGAGGACGAAUGCCAGUGCAGUUCCUGCACAAUGCUGGCUCUCAGCAGUACGAUUAGUUACUUGGCAACGAGAGCAAGGUGUGUCAGAGUGGAUGGGACACAAACAGCCCCAGCAACAGCUCCAGGAGAACUCUCAGCUAGUACGGCUCAUCUGGUUUUGCCAUGGAGCACUUAGCUGAACGAAUUAAGUAACACCUGGAAGCAGCCUCCCACUGAGCACAUUACACAACAACCUCGUUGCCCAUAUUUUCCAUGCAAUGCCAUGUGGUGGAACUGUGUUCAGCAGAACAAAAGUUGCCCGUCUUGCCCUUCUCAUGCAGCUGAGGGAUAGCUGGGGCUGCGCUCAGGGGGACAGCACGGAUUUUUGCACUGAAACGGAGGGAUUUAAUGGUUGCUGCUGCUCAGGAAGUGCUGUGGAUCCACUCAGUAGUAACAACUGGUAUUCCUCAAAAGAGGAAUAAGCCUUUGGAUUUCCUGAAACCUAAACCAUAAGAAAGGUAUUGUAAGACUUUACUGUGGAGCCAAACAGCACCAAAGGGAGAAAGGACACAUGCAGGACUCCCAGGAGGGAUGGAAACCACACCUGUAUUCUUUUGUAAACAUAUAAACGUGGUUUCCAUGCUCAUUUCUUGUUGUACAAGAGUAAGAGAGGGCUUAGUUCCAUCUCUUGAGACAAUUGCAUAGAAAAGGAGGAGCUGAUGUAAAUGAGCAAUUGAGAAUUACCUACACAUGAGCAGCACUGCCCAGGGGACUCAACAGGUGCCCAGUGCCAGGCCAUUAACUCUGAAGGACUGGUGGCCAAGGCCAGCAAAGCACAGGAAAACUGUGCUUAGGUGAGGAAUGCUGAAUGGGACAUCAGCCUCCCAGUGCCAGGACACAAGGAAAUUCUGCAUGCCUCGGG
ensembl:lncRNA